AGACACUGUGACUUUGGGUUUGCAGACACUAAUAGCUCUGCAGGGAGAGUACUUGAGAUUCUGCUUAUAUAAGGUGCUUGAGAGUAUCUGUGAGGUUUCAGUUAUCUACUUGCUUUGCCAGAGAACUGACCUAAAAAAAUGAAGGAGUAGGUCCUCCUAGUCAAAGCAUCAGAUUCUCUGAAAUGACAUCUGUGAAAAGGAUCUUGAAGGAAGGGAAAAUAGAAAUGAAGUAACCUGCAAUAGGUUACAAAAGAAGUCAGACUUCAGAGCCCUGGAUCAGACUGUUCAGAGACAGGGGACACAAUGCUGGGCCUUGCCUGCUCUGCUCUUUUGUCUCAGAGUGUUGUCAAGGCUAUUUGUCAAUGUUAAGGCCACAUCAUCCUCUGGUCCUGCUUAGAAGGAGAGUCAACUGGCUUUCUGAGAACCACCCUGCAAGUUUCAGAAACUUUGUAAGCCUUGUUCUGCCGUGCUGCCUACUACUCUAUAUACACAUAUUGCCAGAAGACUUUUGAAGUAUAAGUGCAUCCA